rnacentral:lncRNA from 1 species
GUGACGGCCACGGCGAAGGGCUAUGCGUCAGCGCCAUAGCAUACGCCGGCGUUUGACGCAGAAGUAUAAAUCAGCCUUAAGUCAAGAACCAAAUGAAGCACCAGAGUACAGAUUAUGGAGGUAUCUGAAGUUGAACUAACUGGAAGCAGGGAACCAUACUAAUAAAGUUCCUUAAGCAGGUUCCUUGUAAAGAUUAACCCAGGGAAGGAUCGAAAGUGGAGAAGACCAGAUCAAGAAAGACUACAUCAAGAUCUGCGGUCAGUUCAAAGGAUGUUUUGCAUUGGACUGUUUUUUUUUUGGCUUUGACCCUUGCUUGCCCCUGACCUCACUCUUGGACUGCCCUGUUGGAUUUUCAGUUUAUUUAAUUUAAAAAAAAAAUUUUGGUUCUGGGUAGAUGCUAAUAAAUAUUUAAUUGUAAUUAUUUAAUGUAAAUCAAAGGCGGCAACACCAAGGCUCCAAAAAUACAAAUUUAUUAAAUUAAAAAGGCUGACACAGAGCGUGUAACGUUUCGAGCCGCCGGCUCUUCAUCAGACAAAUUCUUUUUCAUUGUAAUUUUUUAAAUAAUAUGUUUUUGUUAAAUAUGUGAUUUCUGUGUUUGUUCUGUCUACUUGUACUUGUUUAUCUUGUUUCUGUUUAUCAUUUGUUUAUUUGACCCUUGCCUCGCCUCUGAUCUUGUUUUUGGAUUGCCCUUUAUAUAUCUUUUUUAAUUAUUGGUUCUAGUUAUAUGGUUAUAAAAUAUUUGUUAAUUUAAUUAAUAUGCAUUUUAUAAAAAAAAAAAAAAAAUAUAUAUAUAUAUAUAUAUAUAUUUUUUUUUUUUUCCGGUUUUUUUCUGGAUCUAUUUAUCUAAUUUGGAUAUACAUUUGUGUUUGUAUGUUCUUCUUAUUCUGUAUAUCCACUUACCUAAUUUUAACUUUUAUAUAUAUUUAUUUGCAUUUAAUUUGUGAUAAUUCUGUAUGCAUUUCUUUAUCUUAUUCAUAUAUUUAUAUGUAUUGCAUUGAUCAAUCUGUUGUUGUUUUUUUUGUAUGCAUCUAUUUAUAUAAUUUAUAUAAAUUAUAUAUUUGUAUUUAUCAAUUUAUAUGCUUCCUUUGAAGCAAUUUUUUUAAAAUAAAGCAAUUUAAACUAA